rnacentral:lncRNA from 1 species
ACAAUGCGUCCGAUAUUUUAAGGCCACACGUGACCAACUGCGCCUACAUAGAAGCGAGCGUGAUUCAUAAAAUAGGUAGUCUAGUGCCUACUAUAGUCUUGCGCGCAUCGUAGUGCUGUGAUAACCUAAAUCAGGACAGCUCCAGGCCUCUUUCAUAAGUAGUUUACUGCUGAGGCUGUAAUUAUUCCGCACGCUUGAAAGUUCAACUACAACUUGCCCAUAAGUAACACCUAAUUUGAGACAAAUAUAAACGAGGCUUUAUGUUUAGUUCACCAAAGAUACAGGAGAAACCUUGUACAAAACUUGUUAAUAGGGAAACAACUAAGGGUCCAACGAAUAUUUGCAACGCUCCUGAUUACAUCAUAAAUGUUAACCGUGCCACUGCUUGCACUUAGCAUGUGUCUCAUCUCCAUUGCCGUACAGCUCACUAGCGACAUCAGUAACAUAGCUGAUGACGACCGUAUGGCGCUUUCGAAGACCUGCUUUUUUUUCUUGCGAACGCUGUAACUAUAAGGAAUUUUUGAGGCAUUGCAUAGGCAUCUGACAUAAAAUGCUCCUCCUUCUCUCAAAAUUUCAACUUUGUCACACAAUGAGUUCUUCCAUGACAUUGGGCAAACUUGCGCAGUUCCUAAUUCACGCUUGUAUAAGCAAUAUUGUACAGGGGACGUAGCGAGAGCAGGCUUGUGUUGAAUAGAGAGAGAGUUUGAAAAAAAGGUGACUUCACGCUCCGCUUGCGCGCUCCAUGCAGAGCGCACGCCUGCAUAAUUUAGCUCAGCGGUUCACAGCAGUUUGUGCUACCGCGGACUCUCUC